UCGGACCUUGAAACGUCCGGCGAUAUUAUUAUUAUAAUACAGGUACCGGGUACAUUAUAGUUAUUCGUGUAGGUAUUUAUUUAUGUACGUUUAAAUCGUUAGAAAUGGGAUUAUUGCUUAAUACCAUUACGUACGUUAUCGUGGUCACCGCACUCGAAUCGGUUGCCCUGCGGUCGAGGUCACCGUCCGAGUCCUCGGAGGCCGCGGGAGCGCCGCCGUCCCAAUGAUGUAUAUCGUCGAGGACUUUGGACUAGGGCCGA